UACAGCGGUCCCAAGCGUUGUUCGGAUUCACUGGGCGUAAAGGGUGCGUAGGCGGUUUGACAAGUCUGAUGUGAAAUCCCGCAGCUUAACUGCGGAACUGCAUUGGAAACUGUUUGACUAGAGGAAUGGAGGGGAGACUGGAAUACUUGGUGUAGCAGUGAAAUGCGUAGAUAUCAAGUGGAACACCAGUGGCGAAGGCGAGUCUCUGGACAUUUCCUGACGCUGAGGCACGAAAGCCAGGGGAGCAAACGGG
rnacentral:rRNA from 1 species